rnacentral:rRNA from 1 species
GACGAACCGUGCGAACGUUGUUCGGAAUCACUGGGCUUAAAGGGCGCGUAGGCGGGCACGCAAGUCGGUGGUGAAAUCCUCCGGCUCAACCGGAGAAGAGCUGUCGAUACUGCGUGCCUCGAGGGGUGUAGGGGCCUGUGGAACUUUGGGUGGAGCGGUGAAAUGCGUAGAGAUCCAAAGGAACGCCGGUGGCGAAAGCGACGGGCUGGACACCUUCUGACGCUGAGGCGCGAAAGCGUGGGGAGCAAACAGG